rnacentral:tRNA from 1 species
CGGGAUGUGGCGCAGCCCGGUUAGCGCACUGGUCUGGGGGACCAGGGGUCGCAGGUUCAAAUCCUGUCAUCCCGAC